AUUCACUUGCUUUCUGUAAUUCUGUAAUUUCGGAAUACAUUCGUCCGACUUCAGCUGAAGAUUCAUGCUGUCCCAUGUUGCAUGUUCGAGUGUAGACCUACGGAAAACCUUGCCGCGAGGAGAGGUGAGUGAACCAGUACACGAGCCACCUACGACAUAAUUCCUCGGGCGGCCCAGGUCAACUCAUCAACUCCCGGCAUACUUUUAAAGUGGUUUGUAUCUGCAAAGGAAUUUGUAUUAACAAAAGGAUCAAACAUAAAAAGGCGAUACUAAUUAAUACUUCCCUGCGACCUUGGAGGUCUCUCGGUUGGACAUCUAGCCGUGAACACCAAGCUUGGUAUCAAUCUUCGUCAGUCGGUGUGGUAUUGAUCACAGCUGGUGUUAGUUUGACGCUCCGUCGUCGUCUGUUGUAUCCUGCGGCUGCGUAGCAAGCCAGAUGCUCGCUCAUUCAGUUUGAAACGAAAAGAACAAAAGAGAACACAAGAAACCAUUAGAUUCUGAUAGUGAGUUUCAACUCAGAUGUUAGUGUAAUAUAAUAUUAAACAUAAAUAGUUCACUUCAUGAUUCUUUAUAGACACUUAAUUUAUUUUGCUUUCACUAUCACAUUCACUAUUUCUUCGGGUCGUCUAAUUUUCGUCGUGUUCCCGUACUUGGAGAAUUCCGCAUAACUAAUCACUGCUGGUUCGUAGUGUAAUGUCGAACAUGUUACUAGCUAACACAACAGUGACACAGAAACAGAACUUCACAAGCACGGGAAUUUCCACACGACCUCCCAGUGAAUUAAUACCGAGCUUUAACUAUUUUUAUACUACUAUUACCUAAAAUGUCCAAAGCAGCUCAGCAAAACUCACUGGGAGCGUUCCACAAUUUAGCCCCAUCCGGGGGGAGCUUAUCCCUUCCCUGUUUGAAAAAUGUCGUACGUCGUACGAGUUGUCGCACGGUUUUGAUUUUACCGUUUCGAUAUCGAUUGGUCGAAAAGACGACAAACGCACGACAAACACUCGACAUUGUUUUUUCCAUCGAUUUUCCUUAAUUUCGACGUCACGAUUUUCGUCGACGCAAACAGUUUGACAGUUCUCUUCAGUUGAUCUUGUUUGGACUUAAUUUCAACCGAAUUGAACUAGUUGUCGUUGCUGUUGGGCUACUGGAGGAUUUUGGUAAGUUGUGUUACUUUUCCGGAAAGUUUCGGCUGGAGUGGCGAACGGCCAAAUCAUAGUCUUAUGUUCUGGAUUUCCAGAUUUCGGUUUUCGUGGCGGUGAAGGGACAUAUCGUUAAUUCGGUGGGCCAUGUCCAUGGACUAUGCCGGAGGACGGUAUCGGAAGGAAUCGGUCUGCGAUUGAGAAAGCGGAUUGGUGUUUUGCUUUCCGCGGAAGUUGCAUUUCCAAAGGAGAAGGAGUGUCCGAGUGUUGCAUGUGUCGGAAACAGAAGGAGGGAGACGGAACAUUCAAGCUCGGGAGUCAAUCACUGUUCCGCGUGAAUAAAAACCGUUCUGUACAAACAGUUUCCAGAGUGCUUUUGCUGGACGUGGACUAGCAAGAGGAAAAGGACAAUGAAAAUGCGUUGGUGGUGUUGGACUUCUAGCGGAAUCUCAAAAGCGCCAUUAUCAAAACUCAGUCUUCUUCCUAGAGAUACUUCCGGCCGAGAACAUCCUCCGGGUGAAGGCGAUCGAGGUGGACAAACUUCCCACGGGGCAGCACUCGAACAUUGGAAGGGUAGACAAGCAGAACCUUUCCAAAAGUGGUUGGCCAUCGUCGGACCAAAAGGAGUCGGUUUGUAUUCCCUUCUUGUGCAACGGCCAAUCCCGUCAUUAAGCGAAAUUAAGAAAAUUAUGGCUGCAGUGAUAGUAAAUAUUUCAAAAACAAAGUGCCAGGCCAGUGCAAACUAAUACAAAUGAAUAAAAAUAAUCAAAAACAUAAACAAAGUGAAUUUUAUUUUGAAAAUAACCUCAAAAUACCGAAAUGACAGCACACGACAAACGCACGACAUCCUAAAUAACAAAACCGUGCGACGUCGGUCGAAUGUCGUACGACAAUGUCGAACAAUUUCGAUUAUCGAUCGUACGACAAAUACGACAUUUUGGUGCAAAAACGUCUGACAUUCGUGCGAAAGUCGCGCGACAUUGUCGUGCGACGUCGUACAAUUGCACGGACGACAAACGACGGACGUCCGACGGACUUUUCAGUCAGGGUUUGUACCCUCGUGUUUGUUUCCUUUGAUCAGUAGUCUAGGUAGUCCAACAAUGUUCAGUACAAGUUUGAAUCGAAAGAAAUUGCUUCAACAGCUGAACGGAUUAAACUAUUGCUUCCCUUGCUGAACUAACUAUGCUAUUGUUACUAAGGAAACAAAAGGAUAAAACAUCAUGAUUUGAUGUUCUAACCCAGAUCGAAAGUCCGUAGACGCACGAUGUUUCGUAAGGCAACGAUGUUUUUCGAAAAUUUCGAUGAACUGUAUGCUACGCGUUAGAGCGAAAGAGAAAGCAUGCUUUGUAUUUUCAUCGAAGUUACGCUAAGCAUGCUAUCUCGUUCUUUCAUGUCUACGAAUUUUUCGGCAGUUCUGUCAAACGCAAAACUUCUCGUUUGCGUGUUUGGCUGUAAAAAAAAGUUAGGCCACGACGGUUUUCCGGAGCAACUCCGGGUUUUCCGGCCCCUGGUGCAUUGCAAUGGAAGCGGCUUGAGCAAGUAAGUAAGUAAAUUACGAAAGCGAUUCUAACUGCGGUCGUGAACAUCAAAUUCGGCAAAGUUUUUUUUUUCAUCUUUAUUUCCUCUCCUUCCAGAGCUGCAGCGAAACCAAGAUGGACACCGAUUCUGACGUAGAGGACGACGACUUCAGCUACGGAGCGUCGAGGUGACCAAGUGGUCUGUGGUGCUGGCGACGAAAACAACUAAUCUGGCAUUCGGUGGUAGCGGAACCGGUGCUGCAGGAGCGCAGGCAAAAUACUUUGGUCGUCAAACCCGGAAAGAACAGAAACGGCAGUCGGUUCUGGAGUAGGGUGUCCCGCUUUUGCCAAUCUGCAGAGCAUAACGGCGCAGAAUAACUUGGGGCGGCCGGUUCGCCAACUGCAGAGCAUAACCCCGCUUUUGCCAAUCUGCAGAUCAUAACGGCGCAGAAUAACUUGGGGCGACCGGUUCAGAUAGAGAACCUGGAAGCUGCCCACAUGAGUGGUACCGGUGAGGUUCCCCGAACUCCGCCAACUACGGCAACGCAAAGCUGAAUUAAUCCGUCAAGAAGACACCAAACGAGGCGGUGAGCCAGCAGUAGCCAAGCAAAUCAGUGUCCGGAAACAGUUGCAGAGAAGCGUUACCAUUGGACAAACUAAUCACGGUCAAGAGCGCGGGAAGGUCGGCAAAUCAACGCUUGCUGGCAAACAAUCUGCAGGAUGUGCGCGAGAAAAUUGCCAAGGCCGGGGUCAUCAACAUGAGCCGGUUAAAUCGAGACGAGCGUGAAUAAUACGAUGGUUUCUGAGGGCAUGCAGGUGUCUUUCGUUUUUUCCAGAACCAGCAACAUCAGCAGCAUUGGCACCAGCCGGGACUUCUCCAAUGACGGAGUGGCCAGUAGGGACGACGACGAUCAAUUACUGGACACCAACGGAGAAUACGAUGAUGGCUCCGACGAGGCGUAACACAAUUAUAAAUUUAAGGAUCUUUCAUAAUAUGAUCACACCCAUUAAUUUUUAUUUAACAUUUUUGUAAACGGUUUUUUUAUUUAUUUCACAAAGUUUCCGGUCUCGUCGCCGACCAAGAAGAUUUGCGGUCUUCCAACAUCAAGAACCUGACGGCUGCAAAAUAUUUCGGUGUGACCAGACUCGUUUAGGCCGGUCAGUGACAAGAACGUCAGCGGUGGCGCUGGAGCCCAGUUUCGGGGACAACGAUGCUGAGCAGAAACUACAUCUAGUGACCAAUCAGAACGUGACGACCAUGAGUCAAGAAACGCUCCAAAACCUCUGAAGACUCGAUCAGCCAUAUUCUCCAGGCCCGUUCCAGGUCAUCCAACCACGCGCACAGCGCUGCAUGGCCAGGUAGUGAACUUUUAAGUUUGCCGGCAGUUUCUUUGCUCACAACAAAGAGUUCAUGGAUUGGAAAGAUUGACAAUUGCUCCGUAAACAUCCCAAGCUGGUUUCACUCAAGGUGCAGGAAAAUCUCCAUCACCACUGGGGCCAAGAGCGGACUGCAACUGUUGCUUCAGGUUUUAAAGCACGAGCUGUGAUCCACCACGACCAUGUUCAUCGUGACGAACCUACCCUGACACAAUAUCUUCUGGAAAACUCCCGGCAGAAGACAGAAGUCUGCAGGUGGGCAGGCGCGUGUUUUCAGUGACCGCAACAAUGGAUUACCCGACGGGCCAAAAUUUCUCAUAGAUGAGCAAUUCUCUGAGAUUUCGGUCAUUCGAUUUUUUCUGUAUUUUUUAAUCCGGCUGAAACUUUUUUGGUGCCUUCGGUAUGCCCAAAGAAGCCAUUUUGCAUCAUUAGUUUGUCCAUAUAAUUUUCCAUACAAAUUUGGCAGCUGUCCAUACAAAAAUGAUAUGUAAAAAUUCAAAAAUCUGUAUCUUUUGAAGGAAUUUUUUGAUCGAUUUGGUGUCUUCGGCAAAGUUGUAGGUAUGGAUAUGGACUACACUGAAAAAAAAUGAUACACGGUAAAAAAAAAUUUGGUGAUUUUUAAUUUAACUUUUUGUCACUAAAACUUGAUUUGCAAAAAAACACUAUUUUUAAUUUUUUUUAUUUUUUGAUAUGUUUUAGAGGACAUAAAAUGCCAACUUUUCAGAAAUUUCCAGAAUGGGCAAAAAAUCUUUGACCGAGUUAUGAUUUUUUGAAUCAAUACAGAUUUUUUCAAAAAAUCGAAAUAUUGGUCGCAAAAAUUUUUCAACUUAAUUUUUCGAUGUAAAAUCGAAUUUGCAAUCAAAAAGUACUUUAGUGAAUUUUUGAUAAAGUUCACCGUUUUCAAGUUAUAACCAUUUUUAGGUAACUUUUUUGAAAAUAGUCGCAGUUUUUCAUUUUUUUAAAUUAGUGCCCAUGUUUGCCCAUCUUUGAAAAAAAUAGUUUUGAAAAGCUGAGAAAAUUCUCUAUAUUUUGCUUUAUUGAACUUUGUCGAUACGACCCAUAGUUGCUGAGAUAUUGCCAUGCAAAGGUUAAAAAACAGGAAAAUUUAUGUUUUCUAAGUCUCACCCAAAUAACCCACCAUUUUAUAAUGUCGAUAUCUCAGCAACUAUAGGUCCGAUUUACAAUGUUAAAACAUGAAACAUUCGUGAAAUUUUCCGAUCUUUUCGAAAAAAAUAUUUUCAAAAAUUUAAAAUCAAGACUAACAUUUCAAAUGGGCGUAAUAUUGAAUGUUUGGCCCGUUUGAAAUGUUAGUCUUGAUUUUAAUUUUUUUUAAAUAUUUUUUUCGAAAAGAUCGGAAAAUUUCACGAAUGUUUCAUGUUUUAACAUUGUAAAUCGGACCUAUAGUUGCUGAGAUAUCGACAUUAGAAAAUGGUGGGUUGUUUGGGUGAGACUUAGAAAACAUAAAUUUUCCUGUUUUUUAACCUUUGCAUGGCAAUAUCUCAGCAACUAUGGGUCGUAUCGACAAAGUUCAAUAAAGCAAAAUAUAGAGAAUUUUCUCAGCUUUUCAAAAAUAUUUUUUUCAAAGAUAGGCAAACAUGGGCACUAAUUUAAAAAAAUGAAAAACUGCGACUAUUUUCAAAAAAGUUACCUAAAAUUGGUUAUAACUUGAAAACGGUGCACUUUAACAAAAAUUCACUAAAGUACUUUUUGAUUGCAAAUUCGAUUUUACAUCGAAAAAUGAAGUUGAAAAAUUUUUGCGACCAAUAUUUCGAUUUUUUGAAAAAAUCUGUAUUGAUUCAAAAAAUCAUAACUCGGUCAAAGAUUUUUUGCCCAUUCUGGAAAUUUCUGAAAAGUUGGCAUUUUAUGUCCUCUAAAACAUAUCAAAAAAUAAAAAAAAUUUAAAAUAGUGUUUUUUUGCAAAUCAAGUUUUAGUGACAAAAAGUUAAAUUAAAAAUCACCAAAUUUUUUUUUACCGUGUGUCAUUUUUUUUCAGUGUAGUCCAUAUCCAUACCUACAACUUUGCCGAAGACACCAAAUCGAUCAAAAAAUUCCUUCAAAAGAUACAGAUUUUUGAAUUUUUACAUAUCAUUUUUGUAUGGACAGCUGCCAAAUUUGUAUGGAAAAUUAUAUGGACAAACUAAUGAUGCAAAAUGGCUUCUUUAGGCAUACCGAAGGCACCAAAAAAGUUUCAGCCGGAUUAAAAAAUACAAAAAUUAAAAUUAAAGAAAAAAGACCGAUUCCGUAGAGAACUGCUCAGAUGGCGUUGUUCGAUUGGUAGUAAGAAAUUCAAAUUUGUUCUGAGAAAUUUACUUUUUUGUGAAUAUCUCAGCAUCUACAAAUCACAGGGUGACAAAAUUUGACCUGCUGGUUCACAAAAAAAUUAGCUUUCACCAGGUCAAAUUUUAUCUCUGAAUGAUCUUUAAUUUGGGAAAUAUUGAAUUUAAAUUGAUUUCCCCCAUACAUUUUUAAAUUGCUUACUACCAGCGUGACAGCGGCAGCCAUGUCAUUUGUUUCUCUUUCUCGCCCAGCUUUUGACAGCGAGAUCUGUCAGACCGAAACGUCAAACCAAAAUUUUUUUGUUUUCUCAUUUCGCAAAAUCGUCGCCGGAAUGUUCAAAACCGUCAAAGUGGACCAAAAGCCGGUUAAAUUCUUUCCGGAAAAGAUUUGCGUCGAGGUCGAAACACGGUGUGCGGUUGGUUUGUUUACCGGUAAAGCUGUGGUGAUCUGGAAGGUGCGCUAAAACAAACUUACGUGAUGGAGGAGGCGAUAGUCACGGCAAACUGGAAGAUUAUAAACAUGUUGUCCAAGGCGGAUAUCCGUCUGCGAGGAUCCGGUCUCUGCUCGAUCCGGGACGUCGCCUACAGUCGCUUCGAUCGAAGCACGUCGUGGAAGAAAUCACGCACACCCAAGGUCUCAAUGGGGUUCCUCUCGAAAUACGUGGAUGAAACGGCAGUCUACCGGAGACGGUCUCAAUUCGAGAAUGACAAUCUGCCGUCUCCAAUCACGAUGGAAGAUUCGCACGGUGGACCGGAAGCAUGCGAUGUCUGCAAAUCCCUCGCGAUCCGGGUCUUCGAUUCGUCGCCCCACUUACACCACCUUCCGGGUAAAAUCUGCACACUCCAGCCUCUUCUCACCCGCAAGGUGUGGGCAGAGGUGGCUCCCAGAACCACCCAAACUUCAACAUGACCUCAACCCCCGCUCCGCACAUGCCACAUCCCUCAGUGUUGGCCUGAUGCCGUCAUCCCCGUUUAAUCCUCAACCAAGUCCGAUGGUCCACUGGGCGGACAAUCGCACACCGAUGAAAGCCUGUUUACGGCGGUACCCUUGCCAGCCGCUUCCAAUUGGCCCGGAUCGCCGGGAAUGCCGCGACCAUCACCACGACCUGGCCAAAGUCCGGACCACGAGGCGCAGAGUGAUUAUUGGUUUUUGUGAGCGGUUGAUGUGAUAAUCGUAACUUUUUCUUUCAGCUCAACACUCCUCGCCUUCUACCAGCUGCAGCUGCAGGUCAAUUACAUCCAUCAGUUGAUUCAGGGCCGCAUCGUGGACAGUCCGGACGCGUUGGCUGAAAUAUUUCCCGCAAUCGCUUCAAAUGGAUGUGCUUUACACUCAAACGCUACGAUUGAUGCGAGACCACCUCGACGAUCACAUCUUGACAAGUACAUUCCGGGUACGAAACUGACCGUGUCCACGUGCCCAAACACCUCGACUGUCCGAUAAUGGUCGAGGACAGCCAAUCACAGUACGCGUAACCCUCGAUCACCACAUCGGUGAGCCAAUCUGGCUCAGGCUCUGCUCCUCCAGGAAUACCACCCAACGUUCCAGGACUGUCCUCGUCCGCCGCACAUUCUCCGACCUCGUCAAGCGUUACCGAAAACGACGCCAUGCCCAAAAUGAAAAACCUAAAGGUGCUAUCGCUGAUCGAGUUUGACACGUUUGUGGCCACGCACGGUCCCGGAACAUACGUGGAAGAGCUGGCCGGAUCGAAGCGUAAACUGAGCGUGCUCAGUGAAGAACCCUCCAAGCAGCAGAAGUUCCUUUAUCUGGCCUAUUUCAACCCAGUGCUGGCCCACGUCGUGGCCAUGAGCGACGAGAAGCUGCCGUUUGUGGCGUUGGAUUCCUCACGGUGGUCUGCAGGUGGAAACGAACGCCACUUCGUUGGUGCUGAAACUAAGCCUAAGGCGCCACUGGUGCCUGUUUCGUUUAACGGUUUUGCGUCGAGGUCGAAGCCAAAGCACGUCGAAGUCAGUUGCUGAUGGAUACACCCAUGAUUUAUUCCGAUGAGGAGUUGGACAAGACUCGGAGGGAUUGAAUGGCUGGAGUACUUGCCAGAACCGAGGACUGAGUAGCCAGCUGAGAAGCGUCCAGCUGCUGUUGAUUCGAAGCCGGCUAAGGGAACGAGAAGUUUCCGAGCCAAGAAGGGUGUCGCCGCUAAGAUGGAAGCGGCUGAUGCUGCUGCCGGAAGCGACACUGUUGCUGUCAAAAAGGUUCCGACGGUGGCUGCGACCAGAAAAGGUUGCUGAUGCCGCCGCUUAGACCAAGACUGUGGCGGCGACAAGAAGGCGGCCGCCAAUAAGCCAACCUCGGUGCCACUAGAGAUGCUGCUGCCAAGAAGAAGGGAGCUGCCGGAAUUUUUUUUUCUCUUAAGACCCGCUUACCUGCCUGGUUGUGGAAAACACUGACUUGGGUCGCCAACAGAAAAGUGAGAGAGGAAGAAAGCGAUAGUAGAACCGAUCGUGACAAACGUGGCCCAACCCUUCUACAAAGUCCUGUGCAAAUAAAGUUUCAUGUGGGCCGGCAACGAUUGCGACAUUGGCCGUAUGAUGACGGGCUCAAACUUGUGGGACGAUUUAGAUUAGAACGUCUACUAAGAUGCUGAGAUGUUCAACACUCUAAGGGACAAUCCAUAGAUCGCGUGACUCGUGAAGACCGCACCAGCCCAGCUAUACUCGCACUUGCGUGUUGGUCGCAGGUCGGUUAUUCUGACCUAGCCAAGGUCUUCGCCGUGUUUUUCCUUACGGAUGCAUCAACCGUACCCUCUAACCCGACACCGGAAACCCCCAAAAAUAACUUUUUAUUAUACUAAACACAACAUUAACAAGCUAAACUCCACUGCCGAAUCGGGAUCAUGCCAUGACUCCAGGCGGUCAGCUCCAGCGUAGGCCUCGCGCGCCUGACGACCGUUGUCGAACGACGAGUAACGUUCUGUCCUGCCAAUGCCGAUGGAUGAUAACCUCUGACACGUUUGAGUAGUCAAAGUUGCUCACGUACUUGACUUGACUUAAAUCCUCCACCAACUCCUGACCCUCCUUCGGCCACGUCGCAGUCCACACCCGCCAAUCUAGCCGGAUCUGCUCGAUUGUUUUAUCGAUUCUGAGGCUAGAAGCCCAUGUCCAGCAUCCUAUCUGCCUCGUCGAGCACCAGGUAAGUGCCAUCUAAAAGAAACAAAAACGACAACUUCAGCAUUUCAAGUCAAUCUGGCGCAACUCACCUGUGGUUCCUUCAGCACACCGCCAAAA